rnacentral:lncRNA from 1 species
GCGACAUGAUAAGGGAGAAUGGGAAUAGAGAUAUCGAUUUAAGCUCUUUGGAGGGGAAACUCUGAAUCAACUUCCUCCAAGGCCUUUCCUUUUGGUUCUUGAUUAUGGAAUCAGUACCUAAGUACAUCAUCGCUGUCAACAUAGCAUUCGAAGUUGCCGAACAAUAAAGCUUCCACCUGUGAAUUCGAGUUGGAAUGGACUAGAAGCUGGAGAAUCGUCGUUUAUGGCGGAAGCUAAAGAUGUAAAGGUAAACUGACAACACUUGUGGUAAGUAAUUAUGAAUCUAGAGCAGUGAUUGUGAUCGUUAGUUAUAAGUAUUGUUGGAUUUUGAUGUAAUUGAGUUUGACGCUGAACUGAAAGGCCGGUUGUUGAUUGUUCACUUUGCUGAUCAAAAUGUUUUACAAUAUGGUAUUUGAGAAUUAGUUUGUUUAUUUGUUCAAUGAAAUUGAAGGUUAGGGUGUUACAGACACUUUCAAUCUCAGAUCUUAAAUCCGAGAUAGUUGUUCAACUUGAUUUGGCAUUGGGUCUGCUUGUUAGAAGUUCGUUUGCUAAUUUUUAAGUUUCUUACACCCUCGGUUACUCUUGAACUCCUGAUGUAUGAAUUAUCUCUCCUAGGUGAUCAUAUCAUCGGUGAGGUGAUCAUAUUAUCGGUAACGGUAACGGUUACGGUUACUAUCACAUUUACACUAUUAUCGUGUCAUGUGCAGUCAAGCGAUAUCGUUCGACAUCAAGUCAUAUCCUGAUUACUUCUCAUUAAUGCAUCUGGUUAUCUUUUAUUGUUUUUUUUUAACAUGCGUUUGUGCAUCUUGUUAUACUUUAUUUUUAUCUUCCGAUACAUUUGCGUUGUGUUAUGUACUUUUUAAUCAUUAUUUUAUUUAUUUUUGAUUAGGUAAACAUCUAAUAUUACAAACUUCAUUAUUAAUAUAGAUUUUCGUCCUUGGUAAAAAAAAA